rnacentral:lncRNA from 1 species
UGGAAUAAAUGCUACAGCCUAGUUUUGACCGACUCUCGGUUGGCCGACACCGCUUUUCAAGGACUCCUACCACACAUCAGAGAGAAAUAUGCCUCCUAGGAGUUUGAGUGCUUGAGCUAGAUUGUCCAUCGACUAUCCGGCCAGGAACUGCACCCCUUUGACCAACGAAGAAAUUUUUAGAAAAAGGUGGCGUACGUGGAAGGGUCUGAGUCGGAG